GUCACAGGAACGAGUAGGUAUGUCUUUGGU
rnacentral:piRNA from 1 species